UGAUAUCCGAGAGGGGAUACUCCGGCAA
rnacentral:piRNA from 1 species